rnacentral:lncRNA from 1 species
CAGGACCAUGUCCUGGAUUGGGGAAGUGACUGGAACAAAGAGAUGUUUAGAAUUUAGAAUUGUCAGAACUUGCCAACUGAUUAAAUCUGGAGGAAUGAGGGAGAGGGAGGAAGCACAGGUCACAUCAAAGUUUGGGUCCUGAGUAACCUGAUGGGUGGUGGCACUUGCCAGACUGUGGAUGAGGAUCACGGCUCCACCGAGCGAGGUCUGACCUGGACACUUCGGGUCGUCAGCAUUCCAAGCAGCCAACGCUCUGCUCUAGAAGGAGUAACUUCAGCUGAGCGCGUCUGCCUGCACAUUGGCUCCCACUAAUGGGAUUCAGAUGCAGCCAGGUCUCGCUGCAAGACUUCCUGCUGACAGCGAAGACAGGCCCACAAGAUAUCAUCCCCAGAAUGUGCCGCAGGAAAGAAGAUUAGCCCCUUGGCAGGGCUGCAAUCGAUCAUUCCAGGCUCUCGCUUCUCGACCCAGCUGUUGUCUGGUCCCUGGCUGAUGCCGCCAACUGCAUCAUCACCUGCUUGAUUCACUCUACAAAUAUCAUCUGAACAACAUCUAUGUCCAGGACACCUGUUCCAUGUGCUGUGACAGUUCUAGGCACACACAGAGUCUUCAUCUGGAAAUGGAGUCAAAGAAAGGAAUAGUCACGAAGAUUAACUGAGGUACUGGUUGCAAAGUAUAAGGCUGGUGUCUGCCUUGGAAUAAGCUGAGAAGCUGGUUCACCUGUCCUGUAUCCUGCUGGAUUCCCUGAGCAAGGUGCAUUCUCCUUCCGAAUAAGCAGUGAGCUCACCACCUGCCCGUCUUGUAUGGGUGAGGAGAAACCUGUCAUACGUCUCCCCUAAGAAGGUGGAAGCCUCUCCGUCCAUUUCAGCUCUGAUUCCAGACCAUAUGCGAGCCCCAGGCUUGUAGAAACAGAGAGGAUAACAGGCCACUGCCCUCCAGGUCACUGCUCAAGAAGACAGAGAGCUGAAAUUAUACCCUUUUCAGAUGGUCGUGUCGGGAAUGUAGAUUUCCCAGCUGGUGUGUAUUGGCUUAUAUACAAGAUCCCAAAGUCGCUGAAAUACACAUGCUCAUGUAGGGACCUGACGGCAUGGCAGAGUCACCAUCUCAACCUCAGAGUCUCUACAGGGACGUCAUAGCUGUGGGGAGAGAAGAGGACUUCAACCAGAACUUGCUGUAGCCCAGGGCAGGUCCUGUGUGGCUGCAGGGCCUCCACGCGACAAGACCCUAAUGGUGAGGAGAGACUCUCUUGCUACUCGGCGGGUCUUGCUGGACUGGCACCAUUGGCCUCACCUGGGGCUUCUGAGAAAUGCAGACUCUCAGGCCCACCUGGACUUACUGACCGGAAUGUGCACUUUAACUGGAUCCCCAGCCCAUCUCAUCUGAACCCUCAGUGCUCUUCAUGUCUGUGCCAGAGAAACAUAAGAUUUAAGAGCUUACUAAUCACCAGAUGCUCUGCUGCUCUUUACAUCCACGAGACAGAUUCUUUCACUGUCAGCAUCUCCAUCACACAGAGACAAAAGCAGACCUGGAUUAGGAGGAAGUCUGCUGGCAGCUACCCAGCAGAUGCGAGGGCAGCAGUUGGGGUCCAGUGUGUGUUUGCUGGGCCCCCGGGCCAUUCGCUCAAUUUUAGGUCUACAGUCGCAUGUGAUCAAUGCUCUCCACCGGUGCCCUGGCUGACGUCCCCGGUUAUUUCUCAGUUGACAGAUUCCUCCGAAGGACGGCCCAGGACUCGUCUCCUGUGCCGGCCCUGCACCGUGUCAGCUUUGUGAACUGCGUUCCAGGAUGUCCUUUGCCGGUGAGGGUUAGGUUGGUCACGCGAGAAAUCUGCAUGAGAGUUUGGACGGCAAGUGAAGCAGCAGCUGAUCCAAUGCUCUAAAGGCUGAUGUGGGGUGCCGGGCACGACAGCCACUCCAGUAUAGGAAGCAUCAUUUAGGUCCCAAUGGACCUUCUCCUGCAGCUCCAUGACACAGGGCCCACGCUUCUCCCACAGUCCAGCUUUCCUUCCAAUCUGCUGGCCUGAAGGAUCUAAAGAGGCUUAAGGUCCAAACCAGAUGCACGAGCAACAGCCUUGCACAGCUUCCUCCACCUGCAGCCACAAGUGUGAAAGGUCCAAUCCUGAUAAGGAAUCUGUUCUGUAGUGCUCCUAGUCUUUCUGCUUCUGUGAUCACACCCUGACUUCCCACCUGCACGUAUCAAAGGGCAGCCUGUUACAGCGGCUAGAGGAGGAGACGACUGAGAAGGGGUCUCCAGCACGUCUCCCUAGGACUCCAGGCAGGGAAAAGAGAAGGACAUCUCCUCGCUCUCUUCUCCAGAGAGAAGGCGUGUCUUGUCCAAGGCAGGGGCUUGGGAAAGACGAGACUCACAAGGAUGGGACAGCCCAGGCCAGCUUAGGCAGGUGGACGGCGGGGGCUUUGGACGGGCCUCACCACAUUUGAGUGCUGGCUCUACCCCUCACUGCAGACCUUAGACCAGCCAUGUGGCCGCCAGGGCUCCAGCCUCUUCACCUGCAAAGUGGAACCCUCCCCACUGGGUUUCUCUGAGGAGCACGGAGGUCACUGGAUGUACACUGUGCACAUGGACAGCACUGAAUGAGCAUUAACUGCCUCUGCUUUCAACCCCAAGGGGGUCCCAGAGCAGGAGAUGGCAGCAAGGAGCCCGCGCAACAUCAGCAGAUGCUGGUGGGAAGGAAGCUGCAGCCUCUGCAGAAAGCUGUCUUGUCUUGGGGUCACGGUUGGACCCUGUCUGUGGACUAACAGCUCAGACCCACCUUGGGCCCAUCCAGCUGCACUGACGCCCUGCUCUGCUCCAUCCUCGGGCCCCGAGCCAAAGCCCUCAUAAUCCAUGCCCCAGGGAGACGUCGUCCACAGCAAACCGCUUCUCCUCUUUGUCUGACCCGAGGCUUGUAGCUUUUUAUUUAUCUUACACACCAAAAAGCUUCAAGAUAAAUUCCUUUCCAGGUUAUUAUUGCAUUCUUAUCUCAGAAACCUGUUUGCAUCUCCCCUUUCUGCUUAUUCUUGGAAUAUUAAGGGUUCUUACCCCGGGAUUUAGGAAAUUCACGAACUCUUGAAAGUAAAUGUAAAGUUUAGUCUGUGUGUGGGGUGUGUGUGUGUGUGUGUGUGUGUGUGUAGUAUUUCUGGGUGGGGGAGCUUCAUAGCUUUCGCCAGGUUUUCAGGAAGAAAGCAACACUGCUUUAGAUGGUCUAUUCUAUUAAAAUGUCCUAAUCGUAUUAUUUUGCACUAUUGGUCUUAACCGCUUCCAGUUCCCUUGGGUGUGAGCAGAGAAGAAAGCUUAAAUGGAUCGAUAACCACAAAGGGAUCCCGUGUGUUGGUCUUACCACUCCACCGCAGGCCAGAUAGCCCCAUGCUAUUCAGUUUGUUCUGCAUCCUUCGGCCGAGUUAGGCCACCGGAGCUAGAUGCUCUGUUGGCAGUCCUCAAAGUGUAGCCCCCACUCAGCAGCAUCACCAGGAAUGAUUCUGGGCCUCCACCCCAGACCAACUGAAUCAGAG